CCUACGGGAGGCAGCAGUGGGGAAUAUUGCACAAUGGGGGAAACCCUGAUGCAGCGACGCCGCGUGAGUGAAGAAGUAUUUCGGUAUGUAAAGCUCUAUUAGCAGGGAAGAAGAAAGACGGUACCUGACUAAGAUGCCCCGGCUAACUACGUGCCAGCAGCCGCGGUACUACGUAGGGGGCAAGCGUUAUCCGGAUUUACUGGGUGUAAAGGGAGCGUAGGCGGCUGUGCAAGUCUGAAGUGAAAGCCCAGGGCUCAACCCUGGGACUGCAUUGGAAACUGUGAAGCUAGAGUGCAGGAGAGGUAAGUGGAAUUCGUGGUGUAGCGGUGAAAUGCGUAGAUAUUAGGAGGAACACCAGUGGCGAAGGCGGCUUACUGGACAGUAACUGACGUUGAGGCUCGAAAGCGUGGGGAGCAAACAGGAUUAGAUACCCGAGUAGUC
rnacentral:rRNA from 1 species